GCCGGAGUGGCGGAAUGGCAGACGCGGCGGACUCAAAAUCCGUUGCCCGCAAGGGCGUGUGGGUUCAAGUCCCACCUUCGGUA
rnacentral:tRNA from 2 species